GCCCAUUAAUUGAAUUUAUUUGGGAGCAUGUUUUCACAAGUAUAGCCAAAUUAUCUAAUUUUCACUCACAUUAAAAACUGAUAGUCUAUAACAACUAAUUACUAGAAAUGAAGAAAAAGGCCAGUACUUUGAACCAAUAACACAGAAGAAAACAAACAUCAAAGGAUUGCCAUGAUAUUUGACAGCUUCCUAAAAAUUCCAUUCAUCGUUUUGCGCUUUGAAAAUCUUUCAGUGAAACUCGCCAAAGAAAAAAAUCCCAGUAUUUUCUAUGUAGCAGUGCCUUUAAAGCUGAAACACAUUUGCCACUUUCUUUGCAUCUUUUCACAAUAUUAGUAUGUGUGUCAGUUUGAGUAUGUCAACAGGUGAAAUAACUGAGAAGAAUAUAACAAUUGAGUUUUGGCAUUUCUUUUCUGUAAGAAAAUUAGUGCAUUGUUUUUCUCUUUUGUUUUACAUAUGGUAACUUAUUUUAAAAAAUUUGGUUGCAGUUUUCAUGUUGUACAGAACUAAAAAAUCAGAAUUAAUGCAUCAUUAUGGUCAACUUUUAAAUUUGAAACGAGAAAUGAAAUAAUCUAUACUCUGCUCAGAUUUUCCUCUUUUAGCUGCUAGCAUGAUCUCUCCAAAUUCAAAUUGGAUAGUUUUAAUGCUCGAGCAAAUAACUUUCCAAUUUUCAUAAAGAUAAUGAUGAACCUUGUGAUACAUCUGUAGCAGUCAGCCAGAUUUUGUUCAGAGUCAACAUAUUCAGUAGAGAUUUAAAACUAUGAAAUCUGUCACUUUCAUAUUUCUAACCUCAUACUCUGGAACAACUUGAAUCUGGCGAAAAACACCUGGCGAUAAUUUUAUUUGAUAACAAAACAAUGAAAUAAAGUCCAUUUUGACCUAAUGUUUGUAUAAAUUCUAAGCAGCCUUGACGAUCUGCAAUUUGAUCUGAGGGAGGAAAAUCUGAAUUAAUAAGGAAUGCCAAAAAUAUUCCUUUAAUUUUGUGACUUACUUUUUUUCUGAAGAAAAUCGUCUGAAUAAAUACAUUUUAAAGAUAUUGGUUAAAAUUUAACAAUAUUCAAAAUAUUUCUUACAUUUAAAAAGUAUGUUUCAGCUUUAAAAACAGUUCUUAAUGUUCUGUUUAUUGUGGGAAAUCAUUUUACACUCAGAAAACUAGCUGCUGUAAUUAUAAAACUAACAACUAACACUCAUUCACAAUGACUUUAUCACGACUUGAGAAUAAUAAUAAAACCUAGAACUGCUUUUUUUUUUUUUAUCUUCCACAAAGUUGAUACUACAUUAAUUUAGAAAAAAGACCAGGACUAUGCUUUGUUUUCCUAAAUCAUUUCCCUAAAUUAAUAUGACAAAGAUGUCAGUUAUGGCAUAUAUAGGUAGAUUGAUAGGUAAAUUUAGAGCAACAGAUAUGCAGAGAGAGAUAAAUAUGGCCAUCAUUAAGAUAUAAUAGAAUGCUUGAUUUUGCCAAGUGAAAUAAUGUACAUGAAAGAUUUCACUCAUGUCUUAUUUUGUUGCCAUUUCUAUUUCUUUUUAUCUUUUGUUUAAUCAGUAUAUUAAAAGACAGUUUUCAGAUUAGCAGUAUUUCAGAUGUUAAGCAAUUCUUUUUCUUGGCUCACAUUGGCAGUUCACAGUCGAAAAGCACAACCACGUCAGGCAAAAACUGCAUGUAGACCGCUCUGGGUUUUGAAGACUUUUUGUUUCUCACAGAGAUUUUUAUUUGAAGUUAUAGAGUAAUAUCUACAUCUAAUUGAUAGUUAAUAAUUGGGAGGGGGAAUUACAACCAAAGAAAUUCCUUGAUAGAGAAGGUUUUAUCUUUUAGUGUCAGCUUAAUGUCUUGCUCGGCACUUUUUAAUUCUCUUAGGAGGAUAACUUUCUAUCCAUUACUUUGUGAUAGUUUAAUCACCCUUCUACUAUGAACCUAGCUCUUCUCAUUCCAUUAAAUAUUGCACAUUUAUUUCCAAUAGAGCUUUUCUCUGAUGAUGAAAAUUGGAACCUGUGUUUCUAACUGAAAACAAUUGGCACAUUUUAUUUCUACGACACUUGUACAUAAGAGAUAUUUAAAAAUACAAAGCUAAUACUUUCCAUGAUUCCUGGGCUUAUAAAUUCAUAAUGUCAAAGUUUCAUCAGUUUCAUCUUAGGUGCGACUUGCCUUCAAAUACACUUGUGUUUUCUAUAGAAGUUACCUACGUGUCUUCAAAAACCCAACUUGGUCUAGAAAAAUGACUCUCUGAGACAGUCAUGUUUCUUUUGUUAUUUAAAAAAAGACAAAACAGCAAUAAACAUUUUAGCUCUUUAAUGAGCAAAGAUCAUGUCUCUUAGCAUUGGACUAAUAGUCAUUAUCCAGAUUAUCUUUAUUUCACGCAAUGACCAGUGACAUGGCCAAGAUGUACAAAGUUGUUUCCAUCAAGUAGUAUACAAUUUUUUUUUUGUAUAAUAAGCUUUCAUUCUUGAAAAAGAGUAACUGAAAAGAAAGGUUUCUGUUACUGCAGUUAGUUUGUCAGAGAAAGUUCUUUGCAUUAUCUUACAAACUAUCAAAAUUGCUAGUCAUCUGAAAAAAUGUAAAAAAAAAUCACAUAACUUUAGUCUAAUAGAAAUAUAGUACAGGUAAGAGAGAAAGUAUUUAUCAGGAUGUGCUCUUUAAGUCCAUCUCAAUUUUUUUUAAUAUAAAUGUACAUCUGAUUACAUAUACAAACAUUUGGAAAGGUCUGUGAUAUACUGUUACUGGUAAACAACAGGGGGAUGAAGAGUUUCCUGUGGUCUUAAAGUAUUCAUUUAAAAUCACACAUACGUGUAAGACUAAAAUCCUCCAGGUGUUGACUCUCCUUCUAGGUUCUGUAUCUAUGUUGUACUCUACUGAGAUCGCGUGGGUAAAUUCCAGUGAAUGAACCUCAGUGAGAAAGAUAAGUGAUAUGAGGAGGGACAUGACUGUAUAUUGAAUUCUUAUUAGUAAACAUUUUGUCAUGCAACAUGAGUAAAUCAAUUAACUGAGAACUGUAAUCAGAGUGGUAAUUUGGGGCAUAUCCUCAUAUCAUAAAAGACUGUUGCAAGUAACUCUUUGGACACACUUCACCUUUACCAAAAGGAACAAAAUACAGAAUAACAAAAACCACAGCAAAUUAUAGAUCCUGUAACACAUGUCCAAUUAGGGCUGUAUUUCUAUAAAUUAUUUAGACUGGAAUGAAAAGAACAUUAAAAACACAGGAAUUUUUUUCCUGGGAUUCAUAUCAGCGAGUAUUCACCACUAUACCUAUAGUUUCUUCAAAUACCUUUAAUAACUAAUUCUUCCUAUUAUCAAAACUACUGUGAAUUAUUUACUUCUAAUUACUUUUGCCCCUUAAAAUCUUCUUUAGGUUUUGCCAAUUGAUAGAGGAAGCUUCUAUUAAAGACUCCAAUGGGAUGAGAAGAAUUUUAAUUACGGCUUAAUCAGCAGCACAGCCACCAAGCAUAUAAAUUAUCAUGCACAUCGUGCUAAAAAUAUCCAGUUUCCUUUAUCCCCACAACUUUAUACUGACAGCACUUAUGUGAUAAUGUUGUACCUGCCAGUCUUUAAACUUCUUUGUUUUACUGGCAAAUUUCAGCAUGAGCCUCUGCUAAGGCCAUUAACAGCAUUGGUGCUUUGUGUACUUAUCCAAAUAU
rnacentral:lncRNA from 1 species